UUAAAUAGUUUAAAAAGUAACUGGAGAUAAUAAUAACUUGCUAAAUACUUUUUGUAGUAUGAUUAACAGCGAAGCACGUCUGUUAGGUAUAGAAUUUAAUUCUCUGCCAGACCUAAUCCAGACCUGAUCCUCCCAUUUAUAGGAUACUUUGUUUUUUUACACGGUUUUAAAAUUAACUGGAGAUAAUAAUAACUUCUCUCGUACUUUUUAUGCUAUAUCUAGCAGCGAAGUAUAUUAAUUAAUUCUGUGACUUUCCGAGGUAAACUCAUUAUUUAUAAAGGCCAAACGGCCAGUCGAUGUUUCUACGUAAAUUAGAGUAACGAAAAAGUAAAGAAAUAAUAAGUGAUUAAAUACGAAGGUAUAGAAAUUAAUUUCUACGCGUAACGAAUCAGUUCCAAAGGGUUCGUUAGGGUUCCUAGUUUCUAGUUCGACAUAAUUCCGUGAUCAACUGUGUCUCCUACCAUCGACUACGUGAUUUCGUUCGCUCCAUCGGUCGCAUAAAUUUCUACGCGAAACACGUACGCGCCGUGUAACUUUCGCGAUAUCCUUUAAUCAGUGUCGAGGACACGGUUUCAUCGACGGACGCAUGGUAAAACAAAUAAAAGACUUUCUUACGGCGUUCGAGGGUCGAAAAUGUAGAAAUUUUUCGGACGAAAGAAACUUUCAAUCACGAAUCACGGCGCGACUCGUCGAAGGCGAUUGGAUUUCCGGCGACGGUUUAAACUUUAAACGUCAGCCUUGGCUCGAAUUCAUUAGUCGGCCAAUUACCGGCACGCUUCCAAUGCUCGCGGAGAACAGGAGCGUAUGCGAGCGAACGGACGAGCCACCUGACAACUUUCCGUCUAAUGUCAACGUAUACUUUGCGCGUCAAACCUAUUCGAAACGUUCUUCUCGCUCACCUACGUCAACGAAAGCGCCGUCUGGCUACGCUAUCUUAUUAGGCGAAGCGAGAUAUCUUGCGCAAUAAAUGUAAGAAAACUCAGGUAUUAGGAUAACGCGCGCGCAUUACAGCUUCUGUAACAAGUGAAACGUGAUAUAUUAUAUGUAGCGCUAAAUUCCGCGCUUUUACGUUCAAACAUUUAUAACUAGACUGCGGAUCUUUAGGCAAAAUUAAAUCUUCGCGAACGUGGCUACAAAAAUUGAACCUAAAUAGGUAUUUAUUUUAGUCCGUAAAUAUUAUAAACGUGAACUUUACAAUCAAUCUUUUUUUUAUUUUUGCAUAUUGUUUGCAUUCUGUAGCUUCUUGCACGUUGAAAUUUCCUAUAAAUGCAUAUCCGCAGUCUAUUUAUAACUGUGGUUCAAUUAAACAAAUUUACUGGACCUUCUCGAGACCUCGCUUCAGAUAAAUAUACAAAAAUCUGCAAUGAACGCGUGCAAAUGCAUAAAUAUGUUAAACGUAAAAGAUAUAAUAAGCUGUGCGACGAAGGAAAGAUUGAAAGUUGUAUGGGCUUUCCUUUAUAAAUAAAGGCGCAGAGAUAGCGUCUACAUCUAAUAUCAAACACACGGAUCUUUCACUUUAUCUUUGAGGUUAUGUCAGCUGAUACGACGUAUCGUUAAAUCUAAUCGCCAGGCAAUCUGGCAGGCAACUCGGUCGUGUUGGGUUUGUUUUACCGCCAAUUUCUCGCUUCUUAGACACGGCAGAAACGAAUGGGACAGAUUACAUGGACGUAGGAGUUAUUAAAAGGUUUCUAAUUCAAUUAUAAAUACGAGAAACGUACAGAAAUGCGCGGAACGCGGGAUGUUAUUAUACCUAACCUCAAAGCUACCUAUCGCGACUAAUUAAACAGCAACUAAACGGAACAAUUUGGAAAAAUGAUUGAAGACGAAACGCGCGUGUCAUAUACAAAAUGUACGUCCGAAGAAUUCAUACGGCAAUGAAGGGAGAGAUCAACAAGGCUCUACGCGGACAGGAAGCGACAGACACAAUAAACUGUAUCGACAGCACAACGUGACAGAUUAAUGCGAGUUAGGUCGCCGAGAUAAAAUUGCGGGCACGUCGAUGGUACGUCUCUCAAAGUAGACAGCAAAAGUGAAGAAUUCGUUUCGUGCUUUGUAUUUUAACCAACCGGAUUUAGCUAAGUGAUCGCAGAGACGGAAUCACAGGGUAAACACACCGCGACUGACACGUUCACUUGUGUGUUAUCAAACUUGCAACGUUUACACUAAAUGAAUCAGUACUUCGUGUACUACAAUAUAGAUGGACGGUUAAUAACACAGUCAAUGGGUUUCAGGGGAUGUACACUGGAAUUGGAAAGCCUAUAAAUAGAUUCCGGAUAGGUUGUCUGGAAAGUCCAUGGCGAUUUUUAGUAGGCGGUACACGUCUGAAUAUAUCGGUACGGUUGAAAACAAAUAACAUGUGGACAUUCGUUAAAAGGUGAUAAAAAUUGCGAUACAGAAUGGUACAUAUAUAAUUCAAUAAAUAUAUAUCGAAAUUCAAACGUGUCUUUAAAUAUUUCUUAAAAAUUGGCACGAACAUUCUGGACAACCCAAUAGAUUCUUUAAAGCUUUCAAAUCGAGUCUACAAUGAAAUAGUUUAAGAAUAACUUGCAAUGCCAGGGGGUUUGUCCCAAAGUACCUCUACUUUUCAAAACUCGGUAUUCGAACGAGCCUGGUUUUCGGAGUAAGAGUGAACAUUCCGCGGAACAAUAUGAAAUAAUAGGCGCAUCGUCGAACAAUCGCGUGCUUUUAUUUUUCGGUGAUACGGAUUGGAGAGAGUUUCGGGAACGAUAGAAAAAAAAAAAACGGCAAAAGCGUGUAGAGCGUGGAUCGUAGACAGCGGUGAGACGAAGAAAACUCGCGGCGGUAGUGAACGUGUUAAACAGGGAAAUCGCCAUGGAUCGAGAAAGAAGGAGUAUUUGUCCGUCGUAAGACCACGGGGACGAGGGCGAAGAGAGGCCAGUGUGGCCAAGCCGGCUGGCUGUGUUUGCCGGGGCCCCUCUCACCCGACGGAGAGUAAAAGAGAGAGAGAGCAGCUGCGCCACCGAGAAAACUAACCGAACGGCCCUAACUGCCGCCGCCCGUCGCUCGUUACCCUUGCGUUUGCACACGCUUCGAUUCCACGAGAACCGCGUAUCAAGCGUAAUUUAAACGGUGAUUCGGUUCGAUGGGAAUCGACGGAAGACGCCGAGCGCGAGAGGCAGACCGAACGGUGCCGUCGAAUCACCCAUUUCGAACGUGAAAAUAAGCGAUACGCGCGUGGACACCGUUCACGCACGAUCAUCGACUGGCUGCCGUCGGUAGCCAUUUUAAUCGACAUACUU